UAACGUAGGGUGCGAGCGUUGUCCGGAAUUAUUUGGGCGUAAAGGGCUCGUAGGCGGUUUGUCGCGUCGGGAGUGAAACCCAGGUGCUUAACACCUGGCUUGCUUUCGAUACGGGCAGAACUAGAGGUAUUCAGGGGAGAACGGAAUUCCCGGAUGUAGCGGUGGAAUGACGUAGAGAUCGGGAAGGACAUCGGUGGCGAAGGCGGUCUGCUGGCCGUUCUG
rnacentral:rRNA from 1 species